AAAAAGAAAAAGAGAAAGAGGAAGAAAGAGAAAGGAGAAGAAAUAAAAUUCCCAACACCCAAAGUCCAACUAUACCAAACCACAUUCAGCUCUAUAUAAUCUAUAAUUCCAAGCUAAAACUUGUGUCCCAUCUAUCCUUUUUUUCUUAGUAUUUUCUAGAGGCUUUGCAAGUUUGCAAAAAAAAUGAGUGACCCCAAAUAUGCUUAUCCCUACCCUGCUCAAGGUUAUUAUCAAGGUCCCCCAGUGGUGGCACCACCGCAAUAUGCAGCUCCACCACCUAGGAGAGAACCUGGUUUCCUUGAGGGCUGUCUUGCAGCUUUAUGUUGCUGUUGUCUUAUUGAUGAAUGUUGCUGUGAUCCAUCCAUCAUCUUUAUCAGCUGAUAAUAAAUAAAAAUAUUCUCUGUAAUCUCACUAUAUAUAUUGUGAUGCUAGGUUUAAAUUCUUAGGAGGAUUAAUCUUUUCAACACUAGUAAAAUUAUAAUUUAUAGAUAGUGAUGAUGGGUGUGUUUGUGUUUUGUGGUUUGAAGAACUUGUUGCUUUAAGUUUCUGUUUAUCUUCUUCAUCUUUGUAAUUUUCUUAAGCAAUGGAAGAAAAUAAUCAGCGAAUUUCCAGUAA